UUUUAAUGAGAGUUUGAUCCUGGCUCAGGACGAACGCUGGCGGCGUGCCUAAUACAUGCAAGUAGAACGCUGAAGGAGGAGCUUGCUUCUCCGGAUGAGUUGCGAACGGGUGAGUAACGCGUAGGUAACCUGCCUGGUAGCGGGGGAUAACUAUUGGAAACGAUAGCUAAUACCGCAUAAGAGUAGAUGUUGCAUGACAUUUGCUUAAAAGGUGCAAUUGCAUCACUACCAGAUGGACCUGCGUUGUAUUAGCUAGUUGGUGGGGUAACGGCUCACCAAGGCGACGAUACAUAGCCGACCUGAGAGGGUGAUCGGCCACACUGGGACUGAGACACGGCCCAGACUCCUACGGGAGGCAGCAGUAGGGAAUCUUCGGCAAUGGACGGAAGUCUGACCGAGCAACGCCGCGUGAGUGAAGAAGGUUUUCGGAUCGUAAAGCUCUGUUGUAAGAGAAGAACGAGUGUGAGAGUGGAAAGUUCACACUGUGACGGUAUCUUACCAGAAAGGGACGGCUAACUACGUGCCAGCAGCCGCGGUAAUACGUAGGUCCCGAGCGUUGUCCGGAUUUAUUGGGCGUAAAGCGAGCGCAGGCGGUUAGAUAAGUCUGAAGUUAAAGGCUGUGGCUUAACCAUAGUACGCUUUGGAAA
rnacentral:rRNA from 1 species